UACAGAGGUCCCAAGCGUUGUUCGGAUUCAUUGGGCGUAAAGGGUGCGUAGGCGGCGGGGUAAGUUGGAUGUGAAAUCUCGGGGCUCAACCCCGAAACUGCAUUCAAUACUGCCUUGCUUGAGUACUGGAGAGGAGACUGGAAUUCAUGGUGUAGCAGUGAAAUGCGUAGAUAUCAUGAGGAAGGCCAGUGGCGAAGGCGGGUCUCUGGACAGUUACUGACGCUGAGGAACGAAAGCCAGGGGAGCAAACGGG
rnacentral:rRNA from 1 species